UAUAGUGCUCCAUUAAGUUUGAAAUGAAUGCAACUUAGCCCCUUGAACAGCUGUCUUUAUAUAGCCUGGCUGCUAACGCAAAGUUCUAUAAUCUUCCUUUCUUUCGUUCUGUUUUGACAAUUGAUUAAGUGGGCCUAUUUGACUAAUUGAUUUCUAUAACAAAAAAUAUCGAAUACAGAAACUGCGUAAAGUUGUCGCUAGGCAACAGACCGAUUGCCGGCGUUGUGGUGGUUCUCAGGUGUGCUUUUAUAGAACAUCACAGUGGGCUUCGACUCAGCAGCCAAUCAGAGGUGAGGACCGGAACUAACCGUCCUAUAAGGGGAUAUUAGCUUACAGGAUAAUAACUGAGGGAUGCGGCGGCUGAGGAGCCAGUUACUCACGGGUGAGCAGCGCCCGUCCAAUCUGAUUUAUGUCACGCAUCUCCGUUUGGCUCUCCAGAUCAAUAGCUGACGUCUGAGAGAGCAGGGGGAGGGAGGGGUGCCGUCGAGUUGAGCUGCUGUACAGGUACAAGGAAAGGAAACAAGGUGCAACAGGUUAACAGCAGUCUUUGACCCAUGAACAAAAUCAAGUGCCACAUAGGCUACAAAUUAGUUUGUGAGCUGUUCGUGAUGUGCAGUGCAAUCCAGAGGUUUUAAAUAAUACAAAUAGCAAUCAGCAGCAACUGUAGGCUACUUAAUUAUAGUAUUACUUCUUAUGCUGUUUUGUGGGUUAAUUGCGAAAUAGUUUAGCCCAACUAGGCCCUAUGUAGACUAUUAUUAUCAUUAUUAUUACGCUAUUGUUAUUAGCCAAUAGUCUGUCAUUAUAACGCACUAAAAUCACAGGAUUUAGGUCAUCCUCUAAGAUUAAAGCUUUCAUUAAUCACUGCUGUUAAAUCAGUAGCUUGCGGAAAUUAUCGAUUUCUAAGUCUUAAAAGGUGUAGGGGGUCAAACGACAGACAUAUUCCAAGCACUUUAUUUGGAAAAACAAUUCUCGUUCAAUAAUGCAACUGAAUCUGCCAUUUAAAUCACGUUAUGGACUAAAAAGACAUUUAAAAAAAAGUCUUCAAUAAAGUUCCUCAAAGUCUGUCGGUCUGUCUUUUGUUUUAGAGAGAGUUUUAUCUCAUCCUGAAAAUGAAAAUAUUAUUUCCUCGUUGCUUGCUGGGUAUUUUGCCUCAUCAGUGCUGAUUGGCUUUCAGUAUCAGUAGUUUGUGUCAAGUUAGAUACGCUCACACGCACACCCACUCCCUGCUAUUGAAACCAUAAUGUUUUUGUACGCAUGUGGCUCACUGCUGAAACCAUUGAAGCCUGCAUGUAACCUGCCGUGUCCGGCAUAUUCACGCAAUUACAACUAGAAGACCGACGCUCAGACCACCAUAAUAACCACCAUGAUAAAAACAAAGUAUAGCCUACCCCUCACACACUAGGCUUGACCUAUAGGCCUAUAUAUCCCGUUAUAUAACACUAGAUAUUUCAGCUUUAGUAUUGUGAAAUUUCAUACAUUAUUCAGGUCCAAUUUAUUAGCUUUGGUUGGCAGAUGUCAGAGCGUGAUGGAGAUGUUUAUGUUUGACUGAUUUCGGGGGCCAUCAUCCCGCACGCUUAUCAAACAUUCAUGUGUGGCAGCUGUAGUUGUGGAUCUGCCCUCCAUCGGGUCUCCUGUGGCCGCUUCAUUUCUCUCCUUAAGCAACCACGACCUCCCCACUCAGUUAACCUACUGUCAUUUAGCAUUUAAGAGACAGCUUAGCCACGUCAGAGGUAACAUAAUGUAAAAGCAUACAUAUCACAGAACAAACAUAGGCUACAAACUAUACAGAAAACCUUUAGGCUAUAGCAACAACUUCUUACAUUAUACAUAUCGCAUAAGAGCUCAUUAAAAUAUACAAAUAAACUAUAGACGGUAAAAACACAUGAAGUUAAUUGAAAGUCAGAACAUAAUGUCUGACAGGCUUACAUGAUAUUGUUGUUAUUGAUUUAUAAUGUCACCAAAAGAUUUAAAGGUUGCAGGGCUGCUGUUGAAGGCACCAUAAUGCUUUUUUUUAAUGUGACUUUUAGUUGUUGACCAAACGUUAACCCCAAAAAUAAAACAAAAAUAUUUACCUAACUCUUAGUUCUUAUAGUGGCUUUAUCAUAGGAUACUUGCCAUGCCAUAAGUGUUUUGUUUUUAAUAUUUAAGCAAUACUGAAGUUAUUCUUUGGUUAUUUUCCUUUCGUUAUACCACAGUGAUAUUAACCAAUAAAGGGGAAUUGUCUGGGAUGGCUAUUUGUGUUGUAUUAUCCUAUAAUAUUGAAUUACUAAAGCCAAUCAAACUUUUUGUUAUUUUGUUAUUCAUUUGUGAUUUCCCAUUUGCUGGGAACCUUUUUAAUCCCCCUUCAAAAGAGAUCAGCUAAAAGAAACUUUUCUAGUUCCAUAUUAGGCAACAUGGCUGUUUUUUCUUUUUUUGUAGCCCUUGUGCUGCAACAUAAUAUUUUCUCUCCCAGUUGACUAUGGCUGCACAGACCAUCCAAUGCUUUUUUUUUUUUUUUAAAUUGGGCUGCGAACACGGUGAUUUUCAGUCUUUUGACCCCUCCAUGAACAGCACGCCGCCGCCCUCGCUGCUCCCCGGCACCCCUCCCAAACAGCCCCACACAAUGCUACGUGUGCGUGGUAUGUGGGCUAAAUGUCGUGCAGAGGUAAUGGGAAGUAGUCGGAAGGUAAGGUCACGGGUUCACGGCGGGGUUAAAGAGACCUGUCCAUGGCUCCUGUUUGCUUUUUUUUCCACAACGCCGCUUCCUUCCUACAGGAGGAUGUGUCCAGUGUGCCACCGUCCUCACCCCGCAACAACCCCGUCCCCGCACAGACCGUGUUUGUUUUUCUGCGUUUAUUAAAUCUUCCCCCGGCAGGAAAGCGACCAAUAUCACCACGUCACUGGGUGCUGGUGAGUUUAGCACUUUGCAUCCCUCCUCGCCCCCCUGAGAAAUCUUGUGUGUUUACUUGUGAAGUCUGGUCUAUUUAUAUCCUCGCAUGUUCAAGGCUGUGGCUAUUUUUUUUUUCCCAUGUUUGUUUUUUCUCCAAGAUUUUUUUUUCAAAGUUUUAAUGUUCAAGCAUUUUACACCUUUUUUUUUUUUUUCAAUCAUGUAAAUAAAACAGGCAGGAUUACUUUUUUUGGCUACUUGUUUUGCACCUAUAAUUUAAUUUGGUGGUUCCACCUGUAUUCUUUGCCCUUUUUUUAAAUGUUUGAUCAUAGAUAUUUUUUUCUACAAAAUGAAGUCAAUGAACUUUCCCAUUGAUGAACAAAAUUAUGCCACUUAUGCCCCUUUGCAUCAGUUCUUUGAAGAGUUCACAGUAUUCAUAUUCAUAUAUCCCAUAUUCAAGCAGCAAUGAUGUAGUUAAGCUAUUGAAAAGAAGUAGAUAUAAAUGUUAUUUUUUUAGAGCAGAUUAUUAUUAUCUCAUUAGGGAUAACUGCCUGCAGGUCAGGUGGGUUAUCUGCCAUUUUAAUUGCCACUGCAUCAUUGUUCAGGUCUUUAACCAUUUUCCUGGGUUUUGCUCUAAUAUAAUGGAAAUUACAUGGGAUGUAGAUUACUCCUUUAAGAAACCAAGUAAUGUACUAAUUAUUAAAGAGUGGCACAUGUAUACGUUUAAAAAAAAGAAGCUAUUGCUGUUAGCUAUUGCAUUAUAUUUUAUGCAGGCGGCAGUAGUUAUAUUACGCUUACUUGACUGCUUGUUUUUGCAUAGUGAGUUUAACAGUGGGAGUUAAAUUGAAAUAGCAAUUAGUUUUUGUAUAGAUAAGAAGAAAUACUAUUUAAUAUUCAUAUUGUAAAACUUGAUUCUACCGCAGGUACAUAUUCUACAGAUUAGUUUUUUAAAACAAUUUCUAAUACAAACUUAUUUUAAAACCAAUUUGGUGUCACUUUUACUUUUAAACUUAUGAAUUGAUACUUGGAACACACACAUAGCCUUAAGAAAAAAACUAGCAUGGAGUAUAUGAACUAAAAACUAAACUUAGUUUCCUCCAUUCUAAAUGGACCAUAUUUGUAUAUUUCAUUAGAAUUAAAAACAACUGCAACUGAAUAAAAUCAACAAUUCAAAGUAAUGUGUUUAUUGUUAAUAUUAUGACAAACACUGAAGUAAUGUGUGUUUACCUUGUAAUAUUUUCCUUGAUUCUUGUCUAAAUAAGGCAGUUUAUAAGCACAUUAUGAUAUCACCAGAGUCAGGACACAUUAUAAUAACACAAUGCCAUGCAGACAACAUACAAAAAACAUGCAGAUAAAACAUUUUCUGUCAAAGAUGGAAUUUAAUAUGAUUGGUUGCCACAUAAAGUAAGAGUUAUGCAACCCUUAUGUUUAUAAACUAUUCAUUUAUAACUGUAAAAUAUGUACUAAAAAAUGUAUGUGGUUUCUGACAUGGAGGAUGACCCCUGGGAUUAAGGAUGUAGAAACUUAGAGGACAAUAACAUGAAUGAGGCAACCCAGACAACACUGCCACUCACUCAGUGCUUUCACUGAGGGAAGAGAAGAUGAAUGGAAGGACCACAGGAUGGACAACAAAGUGGAAAGAGAGAAAAGAUUAAAAGAGAGAGAGAAUGGAGAAAGAGAAAUAACGGAGAAGGCAUAUAUCCUCUAAGCAGGUGAUUGAGAUUCACCUGACAGAAACAAGACAAAAACAGAAAGCGAGAGUAACGGAGGUACAGUGGAGUUUUGCAUUGGCAUGGACAUGGACAGGGUUUUGCCUUCCCUCUGUUUCCUUCUCUCUCUCAUCCUCUCCUUUUCUCUUUGUGUCCGUAUAGAGAAAUCUAUACAGGAGAGAGAGAGAUUUUGGGCAUCUGCCUAUCUCCUCCUCACCAUGGCGCCCCCGAGACCAGGCAAGCAACGAGAGAACACAUACACACAGACACACACACAUUUUUAGCCGCCGCAGAAGGAGAACAGCUUGGCUCUGUGUUACACUGAAAACCCUACUUUCCCCUCAAUCAGACAGACAGGUAGACAGCUGGGUGUUACGCUAAAUCCCUUCCCCCAUGUGUCUCUCCUAACAAGGCUUCGCUCUUCCUGUCACUUCUCUCUUUCUGCUGCUCUCUUUAUUCUACGCCCCAGGCCUAAAAGCGAGACAAGAGAGAGAGCUUUGGGAAAUAUUGGAAAAUUGGGAAAAUGUAGAGUGGUUUAUGAAUAGUUCAAGGGAGAUGAUACGGUUUAAAGUUUCAGGAUUAGUUGACAGAAACAGCCAUCGAAGACGCUAAAAUAAAACAUAGUGUCUCCAACAGAAGAGUUAUCUGUCCCGCUCUAGUCCCUCUCCACCCUGACCCCGAGUUCACUCCUUUUAAGCACCACUUCACCCCCAAGCACACAUUUGUGUGUGUGCACACACACACACACACACACAC